UGUCACGUCCGAGAGAGGAAGACCCCCAGAGAGAAGCUCGGCAGUAACCUCACCCCACAUUGGUGAGAACAAUGUAGGGUGGGGAUGUACGCAGCAUGAGGCCACCCGACCAACUGAAACAGGCCCUCUGGAUAGGGGACUAACGACUCGGUCAUCCCAGUCGCCAGCAAUCCUCAGACGGUCAACCCGAACGACUGCAGGCGUCCAUCCCAACCCCUACAAUCUCCCCCGCCCAGUGGCCCAACCAUCGGGGUCCAUUGGGGUUGCAACUCAUCCGGUGACAAGUAGAUCUGUAGGGUGCUAUUUUAGACCAUGGCAGCAGUCUUCGUGUAUGUCACCGGGACGGUGACUUUUUAAAGGGGGGGUGGAUGUAACCGGCAGAAUGGAGUAGCUGUAAGUGGGAGACUUUUACUUUGAUGCUCAUAGAGAGCCCUUGAAAUCUCGCGUUGGGUCCCAAAGUAUCGUUUGGUCUCAUUAGCGGUUUGCAGUACAUGAGUUGUAGCAUUCGCCAGGGCACCAUCUUCAAGUUGUCUGGUGAGGUCUAGAAGUCUGCAGUUACACUACGAGUGAAACUUUUGAAGCUUCGAAAUAUCACUCCAACAGUGAGGCGAAAUUACUAGCCUUCAACGUGCGUGGUUGUUGGUAUAGCUGGUAUCCGAGAGAAGCCAACAAGACGUAUGCGGUGUGCCCUCAGUGGUUUGUGUGGUCAGAUGCAAGCCGUACCAGCGGGGAAGUUGGGCCGGGAGCUGGAGUAAGCUAAUUGGC